rnacentral:rRNA from 1 species
GACCAGACUCCUACGGGAGGCAGCAGUGAGGAAUAUUGGUCAAUGGACGCAAGUCUGAACCAGCCAUGCCGCGUGCAGGAUGACGGCUCUAUGAGUUGUAAACUGCUUUUGUACGAGGGUAAACCCCGAUACGUGUAUCGGGUUGAAAGUAUCGUACGAAUAAGGAUCGGCUAACUCCGUGCCAGCAGCCGCGGUAAUACGGAGGAUCCGAGCGUUAUCCGGAUUUAUUGGGUUUAAAGGGUGCGUAGGCGGAUUUGUAAGUCAGCGGUAAAAAUGCGGUGCUCAACGCCGUAUCGCCGUUGAAACUGCAGGUCUUGAGUGAGCGAGAAGUAUGCGGAAUGCGUGGUGUAGCGGUGAAAUGCAUAGAUAUCACGCAGAACUCCGAUUGCGAAGGCAGCAUACCGGCGCUCAACUGACGCUGAGGCACGAAAGCGUGGGGAUCGAACAGGAUUAGAUACCCUUGUA